rnacentral:rRNA from 1 species
CUUCGAAAGGAAGAUUAAUACCGCAUAAGAUUGUAGUAUCGCAUGAUAUAGCAAUUAAAGGAGCAAUUCGCUAUAAGAUGGACCCCGCGUCGCAUUAGCUAGUUGGUGAGGUAAUGGCUCACCAAGGCGACGAUGCGUAGCCGACCCUGAGAGGGUGAUCGGCCACAUUGGGACUGAGACACGGCCCAGACUCCUACGGGAGGCAGCAUG